rnacentral:lncRNA from 1 species
AAUUUAGGUCUUUCUGCACCAUGUUCAGAUCACAUCCUCUUACGAUUGGAUACAUUUUCCCUCUGCAAAACCCUAACACGGUUGCAUUCGCUAUACUGAACAUUUACAAAUGCUCAGCACAAUGCCUUUCUAGUGUAUCAGGGAGGUGCUCCCAUGGCACAUAGCCUCACAGCAGCAAUUGAAGUCGUCUCUUGGUCUCGGCACUGCAAACUGCUUCGCCUCUACUGAAGAUCGUUCAACAGAAUGUAACUUCGGGGAACCAUACGAGAACAACCUAAUCCCAGUCCAGGCCGUGUGAGCGUCCAUGAAGUAUUCAGUGACAGAGGUGCCUGAGAGCACAGAGGACACAGUUAAAAUGCUAAACGCCGAUAGGGCAGAAUUACGGGAUUAUGUGAACGAAGUACAAACACCAUGCCUGUUUGCAAGCAGCAACUCAUGAUGAUAAGCAGCGCAAAAGCCUCAAACAGCAAAACCAUACAUACCCGCUUACAAGGUGUUCCCCAAAACAGAAAACGUGAACAAGAAUCGUCAAAACGGAGGACAUAGGUGAAUGACUUAC